rnacentral:rRNA from 1 species
UGACCCGGCGAUGUCCGAAUGGGGAAACCCAGUGCAAUCCGUUGCACUAUCGUUAACUGAAUACAUAGGUUAACGAGGCGAACCGGGGGAACUGAAACAUCUAAGUACCCCGAGGAAAAGAAAUCAACCGAGAUUCCCCCAGUAGCGGCGAGCGAACGGGGAGCAGCCCGGAGUCUGAAUCAGCUUGUGUGUUAGUGGAACGGUCUGGAAAGUCCGACGGUACAGGGUGAUAGUCCCGUACACGAAAGCACACUUGCUGUGAACUCGAAGAGUAGGGCGGGACACGUGGUAUCCUGUCUGAAUAUGGGGGGACCAUCCUCCAAGGCUAAAUACUCCUGACUGACCGAUAGUGAACCAGUACCGUGAGGGAAAGGCGAAAAGAACCCCGGCGAGGGGAGUGAAAAAGAACCUGAAACCGUGUACGUACAAGCAGUGGGAGCCUCUUUAUGGGGUGACUGCGUACCUUUUGUAUAAUGGGUCAGCGACUUAUAUUCUGUAGCAAGGUUAACCGUAUAGGGGAGCCGAAGGGAAACCGAGUCUUAACUGGGCGUUAAGUUGCAGGGUAUAGACCCGAAACCCGGUGAUCUAGCCAUGGGCAGGUUGAAGGUUGGGUAACACUAACUGGAGGACCGAACCGACUAAUGUUGAAAAAUUAGCGGAUGACCUGUGGCUGGGGGUGAAAGGCCAAUCAAACCGGGAGAUAGCUGGUUCUCCCCGAAAGCUAUUUAGGUAGCGCCUCGUGAACUCAUCUUCGGGGGUAGAGCACUGUUUCGGCUAGGGGGCCAUCCCGGCUUACCAACCCGAUGCAAACUACGAAUACCGAAGAAUGUUAUCACGGGAGACACACGGCGGGUGCUAACGUCCGUCGUGAAGAGGGAAACAACCCAGACCGCCAGCUAAGGUCCCAAAGUCAUGGUUAAGUGGGAAACGAUGUGGGAAGGCACAGACAGCCAGGAUGUUGGCUUAGAAGCAGCCAUCAUUUAAAGAAAGCGUAAUAGCUCACUGGUCGAGUCGGCCUGCGCGGAAGAUGUAACGGGGCUAAACCAUGCACCGAAGCUGCGGCAGCGACACUAUGUGUUGUUGGGUAGGGGAGCGUUCUGUAAGCCGUUGAAGGUGUGCUGUGAGGCAUGCUGGAGGUAUCAGAAGUGCGAAUGCUGACAUAAGUAACGAUAAAGCGGGUGAAAAGCCCGCUCGCCGGAAGACCAAGGGUUCCUGUCCAACGUUAAUCGGGGCAGGGUGAGUCGACCCCUAAGGCGAGGCCGAAAGGCGUAGUCGAUGGGAAACAGGUUAAUAUUCCUGUACUUGGUGUUACUGCGAAGGGGGGACGGAGAAGGCUAUGUCAGCCGGGCGACGGUUGUCCCGGUUUAAGCAUGUAGGCGGAGGUUCCAGGUAAAUCCGGUACCUUAUUAACGCUGAGGUGUGAUGACGAGGCACUACGGUGCUGAAGUGAUAAAUGCCCUGCUUCCAGGAAAAGCCUCUAAGCAUCAGGUAACACGAAAUCGUACCCCAAACCGACACAGGUGGUCAGGUAGAGAAUACCAAGGCGCUUGAGAGAACUCGGGUGAAGGAACUAGGCAAAAUGGUGCCGUAACUUCGGGAGAAGGCACGCUGAUGUGUAGGUGAAGUCCCUGCGGACGGAGCUGAAAUCAGUCGAAGAUACCAGCUGGCUGCAACUGUUUAUUAAAAACACAGCACUGUGCAAACACGAAAGUGGACGUAUACGGUGUGACGCCUGCCCGGUGCCGGAAGGUUAAUUGAUGGGGUUAGCGGCAACGCGAAGCUCUUGAUCGAAGCCCCGGUAAACGGCGGCCGUAACUAUAACGGUCCUAAGGUAGCGAAAUUCCUUGUCGGGUAAGUUCCGACCUGCACGAAUGGCGUAAUGAUGGCCAGGCUGUCUCCACCCGAGACUCAGUGAAAUUGAACUCGCUGUGAAGAUGCAGUGUACCCGCGGCAAGACGGAAAGACCCCGUGAACCUUUACUAUAGCUUGACACUGAACACUGGUCCUUGAUGUGUAGGAUAGGUGGGAGGCUUUGAAGCGUGGACGCCAGUCUGCGUGGAGCCNCCGGGUUGCGGACAGUGUCUGGUGGGUAGUUUGACUGGGGCGGUCUCCUCCCAAAGAGUAACGGAGGAGCACGAAGGUUGGCUAAUCCUGGUCGGACAUCAGGAGGUUAGUGCAAUGGCAUAAGCCAGCUUGACUGCGAGCGUGACGGCGCGAGCAGGUGCGAAAGCAGGUCAUAGUGAUCCGGUGGUUCUGAAUGGAAGGGCCAUCGCUCAACGGAUAAAAGGUACUCCGGGGAUAACAGGCUGAUACCGCCCAAGAGUUCAUAUCGACGGCGGUGUUUGGCACCUCGAUGUCGGCUCAUCACAUCCUGGGGCUGAAGUAGGUCCCAAGGGUAUGGCUGUUCGCCAUUUAAAGUGGUACGCGAGCUGGGUUUAGAACGUCGUGAGACAGUUCGGUCCCUAUCUGCCGUGGGCGCUGGAGAAUUGAGGGGGGCUGCUCCUAGUACGAGAGGACCGGAGUGGACGCAUCACUGGUGUUCGGGUUGUCAUGCCAAUGGCACUGCCCGGUAGCUAAAUGCGGAAGAGAUAAGUGCUGAAAGCAUCUAAGCACGAAACUUGCCCCGAGAUGAGUUCUCCCUGAGACUUUAAGUCUCCUGAAGGAACGUUGAAGACGACGACGUUGAUAGGUCGGGUGUGUAAGCGCAGCGAUGCGUUGAGCUAACCGAUACUAAUGAACCGUGAGGCUUAACCUU